CUCCAUAGCUCAUGUCAUUCAUAGCAUUUACAUUCUUAACAUACAUUCCCAUGGUCAUCUUAUCCAUCCUUCUAGCUAAGGCAUCAACAUGACAUUGAUCAUUGACAUGGCAUCAAUCUCAAACAUUCUAGCAGCUUUCUUAGCUUCACUCUUCACAUGAGCUCUUUCACUAUUCCACUGGUAGUUUUUGUAAGCUAUCUUGUCCAAGCAAGCAAAAGCAUCAUCUUCAGUUUUUCCCAUUAAAUCACCUUUUACAGCUUCAUCAAUCGCACUUCUCAAAUUUGGAGAAACGACAUUGUAAAAGUGUUGCACUAUCAUCCACUUUGGUAUACUAUGAUGAGGACACUUCCUUUGAAGUUCCUUAUCUCACUCCAAGCUUCAUAUAAAGACUCAUCCUCCCUUGGUGUGAAAGAAGUAAGCUCAGUUCUCAACUUAGCCAUCUUGCCUGGAAGUAGAUACUACUCAAUAAAAGCCUGUGACAACUGCUCUCAACUGGUAAUAGAUCCAAGUGGCAAAGCAUUGAGCCACUCUCUAGCUCUAUCUCUUAAUGAAAAUGGAAAAAUUCUCAAUCUGAUUGCAUCUUUAAAAACUCCAUUAAGCUUGAUCAUAUCACUUAUCUCCAUGAAAUUGCUCAAGUGUAGAUGUGGGUUCUCAGUAGAUUGCCCACUAAAAUGAGAUUGUUGUACCAUUUGAACUAAAGACGACUUUAACUCAAAAUUAUUUGCAUCAAUCCUCGGUCUCACUACACUAGGCCAAAAAUCACCAAAACUAAGAUAAGCAAGAUCUCGAAUUGUUCUAUUUUUUUUGUUGAGCCAUAGCUUCUACUUCUUGAGUAUCCUCCUCUUCUUCUUCCUAAAUUAUUUCUUCAAUGUAAAUUUGAUCUGUCUCAUAUAAAAGAAAAUAUCUGAAAAAAUUCAAAAAUAAAACAAGCAAGUAAAAAGAUAAUAAAAGAGAAAAAAAAUGUCUAAAUCAACUAAACAACCAAUCACCUAAUAUCAAAUAAAACUAAUUCUCCGGCAACUGCUUGGAUUAAUCAAUUUAAUACUAAAAUGUGCUAACUAAACUAAAAUGUGCAGCAAUUUAAUUAAAAUUAACAAAAGAGAUAACAAUGAAACUAAUUAAUUCUAUACUAGCAAGAGGAAAUAACUAGCAUUGGAAGUGAUUAAACUAAACAAUGGUAAAUUAACUAGAAAUUAACUAAAAUCAACAAUUAAUCAAGAUUAAAAUUCAAAUAUGGGAAGGCGAUUUCAGAAAUUCGAGCUUCACACUCUACUUGAUCUGAUUUUUUUCCAAUUUCUAUCAAUUAAUGAGUAUUCUAUUUCUUGAAGGAAUUAAUUCUACAAUCACCUUAGAUUACUUUUAUUUUAAUUGCUUUACACAUUACGUUUGCUGAUAAUCAAAAUAUUAAUAAAAUUAGUAUAAGUUUUUGGUACUCAAUCACAAUGCUCGUGGGAAUGAUAUCUUACUCAUCAUUAUAUUACUUGUUGCGAUUCCGUGUACAUGCGGAUUUUGCACACUGACGCGCCGCGAUCUGAAGAGGAAGAAGCUGGACGAUGCUGGCCGGCGCGAUCUAGUCAGGAAAGGGAGAAGAUGGUCGGCUCGCAAUUUGAAAGAAGAAAGGUUGUUCGGCGAUGGAGGGGUUGUUGACGCAUGCGAUGGGUGGAAGCGGGUUGACACUCCGCAAUCUAGUGGAAGUGAGGCUAACGGCGAUAGAGGUUGGUCGCCUAUCGCCAGUUCGACAGUGCCGCUUGGGUGUGGUGGUGGUCGACGGUGGAUAGGAAGGGAGAGAAGGGAAGAGAGAAAGAGAUGAGUGGCUGCUUUGAGGAAGAAGAAGAGAAAAGAAACUUUUUUUAGGUUUUUAUCUUUUUCUACUUAGGGAUUUUGAAAAUUUAAUUUACUUAAAAAAAAUUUUAAUAAAAACUCCUUUGAGUGCUCAGAAGAUUGCAUAAAACAUGGCACAAUUGUGCCAUAGCUUUUGCAAUCUACUGACCUAAUUUCCUAUUAUAUGGUAAAGUUUCCUUAAGGAGGUUAGAAGGCUGCAUAAGACACGACACAGUUGUGCCACUGCUUAUGCAACCUACUAACCUUGAAAUUUCUACUCUUUAAAAUGAAAGCAAAAAUAGAUGAAAUACAAGGGACUUUAACAAACAUUGAAAUAAAACGUUUUUCUCGUCAAAUUAACACAAAAAAAAAUCCUAAAAACUUAUUUGAACCCUUUAAACAUGAAUUAAAACCUUUAAAAUCAAUCAUUUCUCAUCCAAAUCCUCAAUAAUUAUACAUAAAUCAACACCUCAUCAAUCUCAAACUCAAUCAAAUAUCUACAAAUCAAUAUUUUCAAUCAUAUUCCUGCAAAAAAUGAAAGUUAAAGAAAACUUUUCUUUCUUCCUUCAGCGUUUCAUGAACCAUCUACAAGACAUCAAUUGACAGUUUCUUGAUAACAAUUAAGCUCAAUAUCGGCAAAUAAUAAUAGACAUUUCAAAUUCAAAAUUUGAGGAUUAUAAAACUCUAAAAGAGAAAUAAGCAAAAUAUAUAAUUAAAAUAUUAAAAGAUUGGGUUGCCUCCCAAUAAACGCUUGUUUUAAGUCACUAACUUGACCCCCUUCAAGAGGCUUUCAAGUGGAUCAAAUGUGUAAAAGUUGUCUCCUAUUUUUAUAGGUGCACCAAUGUAUUUGAAUUUCAGCUUCUUUUCAUUGCAUAUGAAAAUACCCUUUACUUUAUUAAGAACUCCUAUCACACCUUUAAGAGUAGACUUAGAAAAUUUUACUUUUUUGGACUUUUUAGCUUUAUGAGAAUAUAAAGAUUUAAACUUGACCUCUGGAACUCCUUUUUCACUCAAUGAAGAUGACCAAUCUUAUUCUUUUGUCCUCUCUUCAAAAUUUUGCUCUUGAAAGCAUAAAAUAUCAUUGUCAUCUUCAAACAAUCUUACAAAUGCAAUAGAAAUUUUAUCGUUUUCUAGCACAUCCACUCUAAGACAAGAACUUGAUGUAGCUAAUGUGUUGGGAGUUUUAGGUUCAAACAAAUUAAACUCAACCUUUUCUUUCCCAACCUUCAAUUUAAGCUUUACAUUCUUAACAUUAAUAAUUGCUUCUGCAAUAGCUAGGAAAGGUCUCCCAAAGAUAAUAGGAAUAUUAAUAUCUUUUUCCAUUUCCAAUACCACAAAGUUAACCGCAAUGAAAAUUUUAUCCACUUUUAAAGACACAUUCUCUAAAAUUCAUAUGGGAUACUUGAUUGACCUAUCCACUAGUUGUAAUGAUAUAGUAGUAGGUUUGAGCUCACUAAUCUUCAACUUCUCAAAGAUAGAUAGAGGCAAAAGACUUACACUUGCUCCCAAGUCACAUAAAGCAUUUCCAAUGUCGGUUUCACCAAUUUGGCAUGGGAUUGAGAAACUUCCCUAGUCUUUCAGCUUUGGAGGUAACUUAUUUUGCAACAAAGCACUACACUCCUCCAUUAAUGCCACAAUGUCAUACUCCUCUAAUCUCCUCUUGUUGGAUAGGAUUUCCUUUAAGAACUUGGCAUAUGAUGAUAUUUGAGACAAGGCAUCAAUGAAGGGUAUAUUGAUAUAGAGUUUCUUCAAAACUUCAAGGAACUUGCUAAAUUGCAUGUCUAGCUUAGCCUUUUGAAAUCUUUGUGAAAAAGGCAAAUGUGACUUAUAAGGCUUCGGUGGAAUAUAUCUUGCCUCUUCUCCUUUUUCAACUUCUUUUUCUUUCUCAGUCUCUAUUUUUUUUUCACUAACUCUGUCUUUCUUUUCCUUUAACUCAUCUUUCUUUUCUUCUUUCGAAUAAUCUUUUCUUUCACAUUUUUUCUCUCUGAACACACUUUUCUCUCUCAUCUUCUUUUUCUUUCUUCUCAUCCUCAUUUUUCUUUUCACUCUCAUCCCCAACAACUUUUUCACUUCUCAAAUGAACCAGCUUGCAUUCUCUUGGAUUCUCGAGUUGGCUAGGUAGCUUCCCUUGACCUUUGCUAAAAGAGCUUGCUCAUUGUGCAAUUUGAUUUUCAAGCAUCUUGCUGUGAGUUAACAAUUUCUCCAUCUUGGAAGUGAGGUGCUUGAUCAAUUCCUCUUCUUGUUGUUGUUGGAGUAGAAACUUAUCCAUCAUUGACUGUAUGGAAGUCUUUUGCUCAAAAAUGGGUUGAGAUUGCUAAAAAUUCAUGUCUUGAUUUCUUUCAACGUGGAACCCAAGUGGUCCCCUAUUUUGUGUUGGAGAAAGUGUAGUUGUGGAGGAGGAAAUUGCUAUUGAAAAUUCUAAUUUUGCUUUGGUUGUUCAGACCAAGAGAAGUUAGGAUGAUUCUUCCACCCUUGGUUGUAAGUGCUUGAGUAUGGAUUAUCCAUGUGUCCUUGCCCAUAGUUGUUGACGUAAUUAAUUUACUCAGCUGAAAAAUCUUGUCCUCAAAUUUGAUUGUCAUACCCAAAGCUUGCUCCAUAGCUCAAGUCAUUCAUAACAUUUACAUUCUUGGCUUCCAUUCCCAUAGUCAUCUUAUCCAUCCUUCUAGCUAAGACAUCAAACUUAACAUUGAUCAUUGAAAUGGCAUCAAUCUUAAACAUUCUAGCAGCUUUCUUAGCUUCACUCUUCACAUGUGCUCUUUCACUAUUCCACUGGUAGUUUUUGUAAGCUAUCUUGUCCAAGCAAGCAAAAGCACCAUCUCUAGUUUUUCCAAUUAAAUCACCUUUUACAUCUUCAUC
rnacentral:lncRNA from 1 species